rnacentral:misc_RNA from 1 species
GAUGAAGAACGUAGCAAAAUGCGAUAAGUAAUGUGAAUUGCAGAAUUCAGUGAAUCAUCGAAUCUUUGAACGCACAUUGCGCCCGCCAGUAUUCUGGCGGGCAUGCCUGUUCGAGCGUCAUUUCAACCCUCAAGCACAGCUUGGUGUUGGGACUCGCGUUAAUUCGCGUUCCUCAAAUUGAUUGGCGGUCACGUCGAGCUUCCAUAGCGUAGUAGUAAAACCCUCGUUACUGGUAAUCGUCGCGGCCACGCCGUUAAACCCCAACUUCUGAAUGUUGACCUCGGAUCAGGUAGGGAUACCCGCUGAACUUAAGCAUAUCAAUAGCGGAGGA